rnacentral:rRNA from 1 species
GACGAACGCUGGCGGCGUGCUUAACACAUGCAAGUCGAGGGUAGCAAUACACUGGCGCAAGGGUGCGUAACGCGUAGAUUAUCUGCCCCAUACACUAACAUAACGCUUGGAAACGGGUGCUAAUAUUAGAUGAGGUGCUUCGGCAUCAAAGUUUCGACGGUAUGGGAUGAGUCUGCGUCUGAUUAGCUAGUUGGUAGUGUAAUGGACUACCAAGGCGACGAUCAGUAGCUGGUCUGAGAGGACGAUCAGCCACACUGGAACUGAGACACGGUCCAGACUCCUACGGGAGGCAGCAGUGAGGAAUUUUGCGCAAUGGACGAAAGUCUGACGCAGCGACGCCGCGUGUGGGAUGAAGGGGCUACGCCCUGUAAACCACUGUUAGAUGUGAAAAAAAGAAUGGCUUUGUCCGUCCGGGAUUGUAACAUCAAAGAAAGGAACCGGCUAACUAACGUGCCAGCAGCCGCGGU